UACGUAGGGGGCAAGCGUUAUCCGGAUUUACUGGGUGUAAAGGGAGCGUAGACGGACUUGCAAGUCUGAUGUGAAAAUCCGGGGCCCAACCCCGGAACUGCAUUGGAAACUGUAUAUCUAGAGUGUCGGAGAGGCAAGUGGAAUUCCUGGUGUAGCGGUGAAAUGCGUAGAUAUCAGGAGGAACACCAGUGGCGAAGGCGGCUUGCUGGACGAUGACUGACGUUGAGGCUCGAAAGCGUGGGGAGCAAACAGG
rnacentral:rRNA from 1 species